GCUGAUAUAUAUACAUAUAUAUAUAUUUAUUUGUAGGUAUUUAUAUAUUGAAAUAUAAAAACCUAGAUUUAUGGAGUUUCCUCUAGAUCAUGUUAUAUUCUAUAUCAGACAGACUAUUUUAAGUUGGCCUUUUCUUUCCCCUUCAUUCAGUAUUUUGAUUUUAUUUCCCCUUCUCCAGGAACUGCGACACCAGUAACCUUGGUAUAUAUUUUUUGAUACUGUACACAUGGGUGUGUUGUUUCUAUGUGCAAAAAAAAAAGUUUGUUAAAAGGCUAAAGAGCUCUCUAGAACCUGCUGCUAUAGAAAUGUCUGAACUAUAAGCUUCCAAUUAUUACCUGCUUGAAUGUAAAUAUUAAAUGGAGAUGUUGAAGGUGCAAUUCAGUGUCCGAGAUUAGCUCCAGGGGGAUGUCGGAAGGUCCGAAGUUGAGGGAAAGAGGACGGACCCUCUCUCACCCCACCAAGGUCACGUGGAAAAAGACUCUCUAAAGCUAAGUCUUUGCACAAGCCAAGCCUGUGGGGUCUGGUGUCUCUAGAGCAGCUCCUUCAUUGGAAGGUGACUCAGUGUGGGAAAAUCGAGAGGUGCUAGCCUGGAAGAGUGGAGUGGGGGGAAUGUAUCAGAGUCGCCCUAGUCCCUGGGGCUUUCUGGCUGGCGAUGCUCACGUAGCUGGCAAACCAGUAAUUUCUGGGUUGUAGAGGGGCGAGAAAUGGGGGCACUGCACCCCCACUUCCUGGAUCCUGACUCUUAGGCUGGUGGCCCUUGCCCCGCCCCUCAAGCCAAGCCCUCAGCCCUCCCUGCUGUGGGCCAGGAUACAAGUGGAGUAGACCCCAACUCUUUGGGGCUGUCCCGGGCUCAAAGGAAGCAGAGGAAACCCUUUCUCUGCCAGGCUCUCUCCCCGGAAACUACCAGGCCAAAGGCCAGGGCUGGAGCAAGUGAACUGCUGUGUUGGGCCUUCUACUGGAUGAUUUGGGAGGGGGCGACAGGGCGCUGAGUCUGGCCUGCCACCCUCUCUUCCUUAGCUGCGUGGGCUGGCACUGGUUGCCCAUCCCCUUGGUGGCUACUAGGAGGUGCUAGGUGUGUCUGGAGAAGGGAAGAAAGGGGUUAAUGGCCCCUAGGCUAGGGGUGCGGCUCGGCCAGGCCAGGAAGCCACCACCAGCGGCCAGCUUUCUGCAGACACAGCGAUCUUGGUUCAGUGGCUAAACAGGCCCUGGGGCCUCCGGCCUGGGGAAUCUGGUGAGCUUCAGGAUUCUCCCUGCUGGCAAAGCCUCAGUUCGGGACCGAGGGUCGAGCCUAUAGUGACACCAGGGCAGAAGAUGACAGCGUGGUUUGGAGUGUGUGUUUGUGUGUGUGUGGCAGGGGGUGCUGAGGUAGUUCGAGGGGCAGAGUUGGGAAGGCUGGGGAAGAGAUGGAGAGGAAGGCCUAGAGGGCGGGAGGCUCGAUGCACGGAGUGGCCAGUUUUGGCUGCAGGCCAUCAGCGGCUGUGGCUGGGGGAGGGGCGCGGGGCGGGGGAGGGGAGGAGGGAAGGGAACCGCUUUUUUGAAAAAGCCUUUGGGAGUUUGUAGCCCCGGCUUUUGUGAAUCGUCCCUCCCACUACCCCAUCCCCGGGAGCCCCCUUCAGAGUGAGUUAAACACCCCUCCCCCUCUGUGUAAUGAACGCCCUUUGCCACCCUGUGAGUGGAGGAGGCUGAUCUUGCUUCUGGCAACCGGCCUGCUCGGCGCUAGAAUUGGGCCUGUCCUUCACUGGCUGGUGCACAAAGGCCCGUGCCAGGCAGGAACCUCAGCCCCUGCUUUUCCAGUUCAUGAGAACUGAAAACUCCCGAAUGCUGCUGAUCAGACCUAGAGGUGGAGCCUUGGCAGUAGGUCUGGCCCCUGAGGUGGCCCCUUUUCUGCCAAGCUUGGGGAGAGAACCGAAGAGGCGGAAGAUGGCUCUCCUGGAUGGCUACUAGUUCACUAGUCUUCCUGGAAAAGCCUGGUCUACAGGUGCCAUGACUCCUUGAAAGCUGGGUAUGGGUGCAGGGCCUGUGGAGUGAGGUGCCCCAGUCAGAGGGUAAAUAGAGGGCCGAGAUCUAAGGGAGCAGAUAAGGCGUCCAGCCUGGUUGUCAAGACCCCCCAUCUGUCCCCAAGGGGACAAGGGCUUGUCAUUUACUGUGUUCCUUUGAUGUCCCAUGAGCAUUGUGGCUUAUUUAGUCCCCAAGUAGGCCAGCUCUCUGUGACACAGGUCUGAGGUUCUGAUGGGCAUUCCCUAGUUCUUGUCUUGAUUCUGGAACCAAACUGGCUGGUCCCAAUCCUGCAGAGGCUCCCCAGGACUCUGCCCUCUCAGGCCUCGGUGCUGGCCUCAGAGGACAAGUAGGACAAGGAUAGAAACAGACUUCCUCCUUCAAGGGGCACUUGGGCAGAAAGGGUUCAGAAGGCCCAGCUCUCCUGGUGUGGGUGGUCUCUGACCAGCACUUUAUAAACAGCUGGUCACGAACUCUCUCUUUGAAGACGAGAGUUCAGAUUCAAGAGUGAAAAGGAAGGCUUUGCAUUCUACACAUACCCACACCAUCCAAAUGGCUUUUCCCCCCAUCAGAAUGAACCCAAACCGUUCUUACAUGCUUAAGCCUCAGGCACAGAGGCCAGAGCUAGGAGUUCAAAGGCCCUGGGGGUAUUUGUGAAGCCUCCUGCCCAGAGCUGGCUUGACUACAGCUCUGGUCGACCAGUAGUCUGCCCUGACUGUCUCAGCUUAGUUCCAGAAGAUCCAAGUUUAUCCCACAGUCUUUACUCCAUCCUUGGACACCACAGUUGGUGUCAUUUGUUGGAGAUGUCCCACAGAUGCAGCAUGGUGUGGGUCUAGAGUUGUCAGGCCAAACAAAUAAGAAUUUAGGGUUCUUAGCUCAAUUUGGAUAGCGUAUGCAUAUAAAUCAAUCACUAGCAUAUGCAUGUAAAUGCUUAUAAAUAAAUAAAUAUUUAAAGGUU
rnacentral:lncRNA from 1 species